rnacentral:rRNA from 1 species
UACGGGGGGGGGCAAGCGUUGUUCGGAAUUACUGGGCGUAAAGGGCUCGUAGGCGGCCAACUAAGUCAGACGUGAAAUCCCUCGGCUUAACCGAGGAACUGCCCUCCAAACUGCUUGGCUUGAGACCGGGAGAGGUGAGUGGAAUUCCCAGUGUAGCGGUGAAAAUGCGUAGAUAUUGGGAGGAACACCAGUGGCGAAGGCGGCUCACUGGACCGGUACUGACGCUGAGGCGCGAAAGCGUGGGGAGCAAACGGG